GGAUUUUUUUUGGAAACCUGUGAUUUUGAAAAUCAUUAAAAGGCGUUCGAAUCGCCUAAAAUCCU
rnacentral:tRNA from 1 species